AGCGGAUGAGAGGAGCUUGCUCNUCGAUUCAGCGGCGGACGGGUGAGUAAUGCCUAGGAAUCUGCCUAGUAGUGGGGGACAACGUUUCGAAAGGAACGCUAAUACCGCAUACGUCCUACGGGAGAAAGUGGGGGAUCUUCGGACCUCACGCUAUUAGAUGAGCCUAGGUCGGAUUAGCUAGUUGGUAGGGUAAAGGCCUACCAAGGCGACGAUCCGUAACUGGUCUGAGAGGAUGAUCAGUCACACUGGAACUGAGACACGGUCCAGACUCCUACGGGAGGCAGCAGUGGGGAAUAUUGGACAAUGGGCGAAAGCCUGAUCCAGCCAUGCCGCGUGUGUGAAGAAGGCCUUCGGGUCGUAAAGCACUUUAAGUUGGGAGGAAGGGCUCAUAGCGAAUACCUGUGAGUUUUGACGUUACCAACAGAAUAAGCACCGGCUAACUUCGUGCCAGCAGCCGCGGUAAUACGAAGGGUGCAAGCGUUAAUCGGAAUUACUGGGCGUAAAGCGCGCGUAGGUGGCUUGAUAAGUUGGAUGUGAAAUCCCCGGGCUCAACCUGGGAACUGCAUCCAAAACUGUCUGGCUAGAGUGCGGUAGAGGGUA
rnacentral:rRNA from 1 species